rnacentral:lncRNA from 1 species
AACAUGAUAUGAUAUAUAACUUUCAUGGUUUUUUUGUGGCCCUAUUAUAAGUCUCAGUGAAUCUAUGUGGCCCUUGGUCUUGACAAGUCUAUGCAUCCUACACAAAUCCUUUACACAAAUUGAUAAUGCUUGUCUCCAUAAAAUCUCACAUAAAGCAUGGAGAUGAAUUAUUUUGUGUUAUGAAAAUAGCUGAAGUCAUACUGAUCUUCUGGAUUGGUAAUUUCUUAAGUUGUAACCCCCUAAAGAACAAAACAUAUGGACUAUCCUAUAUACUUGGGAUAUUCAAUCCACCGAUUGCAAAGCAACCUUUCAUUGAUCUCUUGUUUAUUCCUCCUUAC